AGUGAACGCUGGCGGCAGGCCUAACACAUGCAAGUCGAGCGGCAGCGGGUCCCCGCGAGGGGAUGCCGGCGAGCGGCGGACGGGUGAGGAACACAUCGGAAUCUGCCUGGUUGUGGGGGAUAACGUAGGGAAACUUACGCUAAUACCGCAUGAGACCCUGAGUCGACGGACUGGGGGGUGAAAGUGAGGGACCUUCGGGCCUCACGCGACCAGAUGAGCCGAUGUCGGAUUAGCUAGUUGGCGGGGUAACGGCCCGCCAAGGCGACGAUCCGUAGCUGGUCUGAGAGGAUGAUCAGCCACACUGGGACUGAGACACGGCCCAGACUCCUACGGGAGGCAGCAGU
rnacentral:rRNA from 1 species